rnacentral:lncRNA from 1 species
CCCAGGGUUCCCCCCUCCCAACCUCAUGUAAAGGCUGGCAGCAGUGAGAGAAGUUUCUUUACUCAAACAUCAUCUUUGGAGUGCUUGGCGAGCUCUGAGUCUUGGAAGUGGGGGGUGAGAACUGUCAUAGUGGUGCCUUAAAGGGGUAAAUAUCUUCUGCUGUGCUCCUCCCACUAUGUGGAUGACCUGACCUGGAUUUCUGUUGUGCUGGUAACACAUCUGCAUUUCCCUAUGAAAUAACGUCUUAGCAGAACGGCCAGAUUUCAAACCCCAGAGGAGUCCCUGUGUUGGUUAUGGAAACAGGAAAUACAGCAAAGCACUGCAAGAUAUGAGGAUAACAACGAGCUGUGCUAGGGCAGCCACCUGGCAGAAGAAUGGGACCUUGCUGCUUGGACGUGGGAUGCUUGCAAGCACGUUCCUCUCAAAUAAGAGGUUACGAUGAAGAGUUUAGAGCUGUUGGUUGGAUGCAGUCAGCUCCAAAGCAGCCAGAGCUGACUGGGGUAGUGGUACUGACCAUGUGCUACACUUAAAACUGAGAUCACAAGAAGACCUGCUUUGCUGCCCUGUCCUUCUUUAGCGGAAGCAAUGCUGAUUUGGGACCAGCACUGCAGAGGUGAGCCUGUCAGAGUGUGGUGGCAAUGGCAAGGCCUUAGCCAUUGCCAUAAUUGGCAGUAAAUACAUACUUACACUUAAUUCAUAGCGUGCUUGGCACAGCUGUGUGUCUUCUGCAUCCACAUGUAAAGGAAAAUGGGACCUUUCCUACAACAUACCCAUCUACCUCCAUCUCUGAUUAAAACUGCCUUAUGGCCUCUCUUUGCACCGUGGUUAUUCCAGCAUUUAUCAGGUUCCUGCUCUCUGCAUGAGGCCGAGAUGUAUAGGCAGCCCUGGAACAGCACACCAAGCUGUGCUUAUGGCAUAACCCUGUUGGCAGGUAGUGGUGCAAUGUAACUUCGGUGUCUGCUGAGGACAGUGCGCACCUUCGGGCACUUCUCUUCCCCGUUCCUCGGCAGCAGUCACUUUUGCCAAGUCCCUGUGGUGCUCCUGCUCUCCUAAACACCCUCCUCCUGCGACAGUGUGAGAAGGCUCGGUCU